GUUGAACGCUGGCGGCAGGCCUAACACAUGCAAGUCGAACGAGGGGCGGACGGGUGAGUAAUGUCUGGGACACUGCCCGACGGAGGGGGAUAGCUACUGGAAACGGUAGCUAAUACCGCAUACCAUCGGAUGUGCCCAGAUGGGAUUAGCUAGUAGGUGGGGUAACGGCUCACCUAGGCGACGAUCCCUAGCUGGUCUGAGAGGAUGACCAGCGACAUUGGAACGGAGACACGGUCCAGAGUCCUACGGGAGGCAGCAGUGGGGAACAGUGCACAAUGGGCGCAAGCCUGAUGCAGCCAUGCCGCGUGUAUGAAGAAGGCCUUCGGGUUGGAAAGUCCGUCCAGCGGGGAGGCGGUACCCGCAGAAGAAGCACCGGCUAACUCCGUGCCAGCAGCCGCGGUAAUUC
rnacentral:rRNA from 1 species